rnacentral:rRNA from 1 species
CUCUUCUUGAAUAUAAUUUGAUGUAUGGCCUGCCCACUGAAUAUUAAAGGGCCGCGGUAUUUUGACCGUGCAAAGGUAGCAUAAUCAUUAGUCUUUUAAUUGUGGACUGGAAUGAAUGGUUUGACGAGGUGUUAACUGUCUUUAAUUUUUUUUUAUUGAAUUUAAAUUUUAGGUUAAAAUGCCUAAAUGUUUUUUUGGGACGAGAAGACCCUAUAGAGUUUUAUAUAUUUUUAAUUUUUUUGUAUGAUAAAUUUUAAUUUAAAAAUUUAUUUUGUUGGGGUGAUGAGAAGAUUGAAUUAACUCUUUUUUAUUUUUUAUAUUUAUUCAUAUGUAUUUGAUCCAUUUUUAUUGAUUAUAAGACUAAAUUACC